rnacentral:lncRNA from 1 species
GAUUAAAGGCAUGCACCACCAUGCCCGGCUUAUAUUUUGAUUUUAAUGGGAUAUUAAGAUGGAUGUUAAGAUUGUGAGCUUUCAACCCUGUCUCGGAAAACCAAAAAAAAAAAAAAAAAGAAAGAAAAGAUUGUGAGCCUUCAUGUGGUUGUUGGGGAUAGAAUCUCCACUCACUCCAGUCAACCCUGUUCUCAGUCCCUGCUAACUCCGGCCCAAAGAUUUAUUUAUUAUUAUAAUUAUUAUACGUAAGUACACUGUAGCUGACUUCAGACACACUAGAAGAGUGUCAGAUCUCAUUACCGGUAGUUGAGUCACCAUGUAGUUGCGGGGACUUGAACUCAGGAUCUUUGGAAGAGCAGUCCAUCCUCUUACCCUCUGAGCCAUCUCGCCAGCCCAUUUCAACACUCUGAACAUACUUACACUUUAUUUUUUACUUCCUGAGGUAAAUAUUGCUCUGAGCUAGACCAUAGAAAGCCAAACACCAGUGGGUAAGGAGGCGAGGAAUGACAUGCCAGCUAGUUGUGGUGUGGGCCUUUAAUCCCAGCCUUGAAUUCAGAGAUCCUCUAGCCAGGGCUAGGCAGUGAGCUCUGUUUUGUUUUGUUUUGUUCUGUUUUCAGAACAAAACCAAAAUCAGGGGCUGAGGAAAUGGCUCAAAAGGUGAAGUGUUUGUUACCCAAGCAUGAGGACUUGAGUUCAGAUUCCCAGAAGUAAGGCAUAGCUGCCAGUCUGUAACCCUGGGCAUUCUCACAGCAAAUGUUAACAUCCUCCAUUUUGACUGGGUUGUCGUUAGCAUGCUCAAACACAGUCUUUUCUCUACUUCAAGAUCUAGAACCAUCUCUCCAGAAGAGAGAGAGAGAGACAGAGAGUGAGUUAGUUUCCUAUGAUCCAGUAACACCUCUUCCCCAGGAACACAGGAUGUUCUAAAAGGACAUCCAUUCAACUCAAAGGGUUCAGGGACUCCCUGAAACCCACCAGACAGACUAGGCCCCCUCUUUUCCAAGUAUAUUAGCUGUGAAGACUGCUGAGAGGCACUCUCAGACAAGUUGAGCUGCCUGAAACAGACAUUCUCUAACCUGUUGAGCUGUCUGCAAGUUGUACAGAGGGCUUCAAGUUUACAGCUUUUGUGACAUGGUGAGCUUUCAUGGUGCCGCUGUCUUUCGAGUCAUUUGUGAUCCUGCGGUAACCCCUCACCCAUACUUCUGUCUGUAACCCCAAUAAAACUCAUCAGUCUGC